AUGAAGAACGUARCGAAAUGCGAUACUUGGUGUGAAUUGCAGAAUCCCGUGAACCAUCGAGUCUUUGAACGCAAGUUGCGCCUGAAGCCAUUAGGCUAAGGGCACGUCUGCCUGGGCGUCACGC
rnacentral:rRNA from 1 species